rnacentral:rRNA from 1 species
GACGAACGCUGGCGGCGUGCUUAACACAUGCAAGUCGAACGAACCCUUCGGGGUUAGUGGCGCACGGGUGCGUAACGCGUGGGAAUCUGCCCUUUGCUUCGGAAUAACAGUUAGAAAUGACUGCUAAUACCGGAUGAUGUCUUCGGACCAAAGAUUUAUCGGCAAAGGAUGAGCCCGCGUAGGAUUAGGUAGUUGGUGGGGUAAAGGCCUACCAAGCCGACGAUCCUUAGCUGGUCUGAGAGGAUGAUCAGCCACACUGGGACUGAGACACGGCCCAGACUCCUACGGGAGGCAGCAGUGGGGAAUAUUGGACAAUGGGCGCAAGCCUGAUCCAGCAAUGCCGCGUGAGUGAUGAAGGCCUUCGGGUCGUAAAGCUCUUUUACCAGGGAUGAUAAUGACAGUACCUGGAGAAUAAGCUCCGGCUAACUCCGUGCCAGCCGCCGCUGUAACAC